UGACCUCGGAUCAGGUAGAUUCCCGCCG
rnacentral:rRNA from 1 species